rnacentral:rRNA from 1 species
GACGAACGCUGGCGGCGUGCUUAACACAUGCAAGUCGAACGGAAAGGCCCUGCUUUUGUGGGGUGCUCGAGUGGCGAACGGGUGAGUAACACGUGAGUAACCUGCCCUUGACUUUGGGAUAACUUCAGGAAACUGGGGCUAAUACCGGAUAGGAGCUCCUGCUGCAUGGUGGGGGUUGGAAAGUUUCGGCGGUUGGGGAUGGACUCGCGGCUUAUCAGCUUGUUGGUGGGGUAGUGGCUUACCAAGGCUUUGACGGGUAGCCGGCCUGAGAAGGUGACCGGCCACAUUGGGACUGAGAUACGGCCCAGACUCCUACGGGAGGCAGCAGUGGGGAAUAUUGCACAAUGGGCGGAAGCCUGAUGCAGCAACGCCGCGUGCGGGAUGAAGGCCUUCGGGUUGUAAACCGCUUUCGCCUGUGACGAAGCGUGAGUGACGGUAAUGGGUAAAGAAGCACCGGCUAACUACGUG